CCCUUAGAUGUUCUGGGCCGCACGCGCGCUACACUGAUGCAUUCAACGAGUCUAAAACCUGCUCUGAUAGGGGUGGGUAAUCUUUUGAAUGUGCAUCGUGAUUGGGAUAGAUGAUUGCAAUUUUUCAUCUUCAACGAGGAAUGCCUAGUAAACGCAAGUCAUCAGCUUGCAUUGAUUACGUCCCUGCCCUUUGUACACACCGCCCGUCGCUCCUACCGAUUGAAUGAUCCGAUGAAUAUCAUGGAUUGAGGAUGCAAGUAGGUUCGCCUAGCUUCAUCUUCGAGAAGUGAAGUAAAUCUUAUCAUUUAGAGGAAGGAGAAGUCGUAACA
rnacentral:rRNA from 1 species